rnacentral:rRNA from 1 species
CGUGUAGGCGGUGUGGUUAGUCGGAUGUGAAAUCUCCAGGCUCAACCUGGAAACUGCAUUCGAAACUGCCAUGCUUGAGUACCGGAGAGGGAGACGGAAUUCCUGGUGUAGGGGUGAAAUCUGUAGAUAUCAGGAAGAACACCGGUGGCGAAGGCGGCUACCUGGACCAAUACUGACACUGAGGUGCGAAAGCGUGGGGAGCAAACA